rnacentral:rRNA from 1 species
AAAUCGUAACAAGGUCUCCGUUGGUGAACCAGCGGAGGGAUCAUUACCGAGUUUACAACUCCCAAACCCCAAUGUGAACGUUACCAAUCUGUUGCCUCGGCGGGAUUCUCUUGCCCCGGGCGCGUCGCAGCCCCGGAUCCCAUGGCGCCCGCCGGAGGACCAACUCCAAACUCUUUUUUUCUCUCCGUCGCGGCUCCCGUCGCGGCUCUGUUUUAUUUUUGCUCUGAGCCUUUCUCGGCGACCCUAGCGGGCGUCUCGAAAAUGAAUCAAAACUUUCAACAACGGAUCUCUUGGUUCUGGCAUCGAUGAAGAACGCAGCGAAAUGCGAUAAGUAAUGUGAAUUGCAGAAUUCAGUGAAUCAUCGAAUCUUUGAACGCACAUUGCGCCCGCCAGUAUUCUGGCGGGCAUGCCUGUCCGAGCGUCAUUUCAACCCUCGAACCCCUCCGGGGGGUCGGCGUUGGGGAUCGGCCCCUCACCGGGCCGCCCCCGAAAUACAGUGGCGGUCUCGCCGCAGCCUCUCCUGCGCAGUAGUUUGCACACUCGCACCGGGAGCGCGGCGCGGCCACAGCCGUAAAACACCCCAAACUUCUGAAAUGUUGACCUCGGAUCAGGUAGGAAUACCCGCUGAACUUAAGCAUAUCAAAAGGCNGGAGGAACAGGCCAU